CCGCCCCGCCCGCGGGUGCGGCAGCACAGCUCUCGGCCCAGGCGGGGGUCCCACAGUCCGUGGGUCCGCGGGCCCGGCCCGCGUCCGUCGGUCCCUCGGUCUCUGGCUCCCGGUGUAGGGAUCUCUGCCUCUUUGGGGUCCGCAGAAGCCACAGGCCAAUCCCUGGGUCGAUCAGAGGUCCUGAGAAACCUCCCCCUCUCUGGUCCCUCCCCAGGGACUUAGCACCUGAGGGCCGUACAAGUGUCAAGGGGACGCUCCGACUGGCUCCCACCACCACUGUCCCUUCAAGGUUGGUCCUGAGCUGCGCUCAUACACGCGCUCUCCCUAUCAGUUUCACACCACCAGCAACACUGUCACCACCCCCCCUCGCGCCACCACGUCGCCCCACGACCCGCACUCAGAACUCACCAACCUCACUCAGCCGGUACGUCGGUUGGCGCUCCUAGCAGCUCCGGCAGCUGCUCACCUGUCUGGCGGCAGGAUGCCGCCCAGAGAGGCCGGGAGGCCACCAGCGUGGAACUCACAGCUUCACACAGCACAGGCACCUGUCGCGGGAAUGGGGGACAAACACAGUCGGUCACUAGUCCACAUUGGGAAGAUCCUGGGCCUGGAGCUCCCCAGUUCCUGCCAGCGCCCUACUCCCUCCCGGCGGGAACCUGCUCACAAGAAGAGGACAUUCUGGAGUCUGCUCCAGGACCAGGCGGAUGCUUGGCCUCCGGAAAGGUUUCUGUCUGAGGGCAAGAUGCCUUUCCCUGCUGGAACAGAAUCGAUCACACUGGAAUUUCAACCACUUUGCCAGAUGAGCAGCAACCGUGAGACCACUGGUCUAGCCUCAACGUCCAUCCCCACGUCAGUCCAUCCAAACCAAGCUCAGAGGAUGCGCCCAGAUCAACACAUAAUUCCUUAAGCUCAUGAUGUGGCGGGCUCUGUCUUUGGAAACAGGACAGACUGGCUCCUGACAUCAUGCAAGAUGAGAAAACUGAGGUCCAGAGAGGGGAAGUGACUUCCCAGCAUCACACAGCAAGCCAGUGGCAAAGCCAAGACUUGGACCCAGGGCUCCAGGCCUCUCCAUCUGGGGUUCUUUCCCCUCUGCUACAAUCUGG